GAGAGAAAAAAUUCAAAGGAAGAAAACCCCACGCGGCGAGGCCUGUGGUAGCGCGCACGAUAACACCUGCCCAUCCACCACCGAAAUGGCGCACGAUAGCAUGCCCCUCCCUAAGCCGUGGCCUCUCAUCUCAUCUCAAUCUCAUCUUUCUAGAUCCUCCAAGUCAGCCCCCCCCCGUCUGCCGCCCCCUUUAACAACCCUACCCCACCGCCCUCCUCUCCCUUUCAUUAUGCUACAACCACCACUCCCUCCCCUCCUCCUCCUCCUCCUCUCAGAUCUCCCUCCGCAUCAUGGCCGACGACUCCCACACCCGCACGCCCUCCGCCUCCCGCCGCCUUCCCCCUCCCUGCUGGUCCCCCGAUGAGACCGUCGCCCUAAUCGAAGCCUACAGAGACAAGUGGUACUCCCUCCGCCGCGGCAACCUCAAGGCCACCCACUGGCAAGAAGUCGCCGAUGACGUCGCCGCCAGGUGCCCCGCAGGCCUCCCCAAGACCCCCGUCCAGUGCCGCCAUAAGAUGGAGAAGCUCCGGAAGAGGUACCGCUCCGAGAUCCAGCGCGCCGCCGCGCACCGAUUCAAUUCCUCGUGGGCCCACUUCCAGAGCAUGUGUUCCAUGGAGAAAGGCCCCAAUCCCGCCCCUUCCUCCUCCGACGACGAUUACAAUAACAAUAGCAUCAGAAGGGUGAACGAUUUGUAUAAUUCCAAUCAGAAAGGAGCCUACGGUGGCCAAUUGAAUGAGAAUAAUGGUGCGGGGAGCGGUUUCCGGAUCAAGAUCCCGGGCCGGGCUACACAGGGACCUACUGUGGCCAAGGUUUAUUCGAAAUUCGAUGAGAUGGGUGGUUCAAACCCUAUUUACCAUAACCCUAGGUUUACGAAUUAUGCUGCGGGUGUGAAUGGGGCUGCCUCGACCAAGAUUUCUAGGGAUGGCUUUGUUGGUGCGGGGCAAAUUAGGAAGAGGGCUGAUGAAAUGCCAAAAAAGAGGGAUGGUUUGAGUGAGCUAGUUGCUGCAAUUCAUGGUUUGGGGGAGGGUUUUAUGAGGAUGGAGAAGGCUAAGAUGGAUAUGGUGAAGCAAAUUGAGGAGAUGCGGAUGGAGAUGGAGUUGAAGAGGACGGAGAUGUUGCUUGACUCAGAGCAGAGGAUUGUCGAGGCGUUUGCUCAGGCGAAAUCCGAGAGAAGUGCAAAACGGGCCAAAAGGAAUUCGACUACACCUGAUUGACAUCAAGAAUUGGAGUAUUGGAAUUUCUGUGUAAUGUGGGUUUGGAACCAACACAAUCUGCUACUUUAGUGCUAGCUUGCUCUCCAUGUAGCUUGAUUUGCAUUUUGUUUUCUGUUGGUAGGUUUUGUAUUGGUAAAAGGAAGUGGUUGGUUAUAGCCCUGUUUGGUCUGUUUAGAGUUUUUCUUGGACAUCAACUCUUGCUUGAGCUGAGGCAUUUUGAAUGUUGGUUGCUGUGGUGCACUGCUGGUUUCAGGUUUAUCAAAUUAUUUUGCUGAGUAUAUCAAGGUUUCUUAUUGAGUUUGUGAAGAAUGUGAUUGCAAAUUUACAACUGCCUAUUUGCAAAAUUGCAGACACAGAGAUACAAGAAGGGGAGCAGUUUUGUCAAUACAAAAAUGGACAGGAAUGAUUGAAAUUGUAUGAAAUAUCACUAGAUUUGAUUAA